rnacentral:rRNA from 1 species
GUGCCAGCCGCCGCGGUAAGACAGAGGGUGCAAACGUUGUUCGGAAUUACUGGGCGUAAAGCGCGUGUAGGCGGCUACGUGUGUCGGGCGUGAAAUCCCAUGGCUCAACCAUGGAAGUGCACCCGAAACUGCGUAGCUAGAGUCCUGGAGAGGAAGGUGGAAUGCUUGGUGUAGAGGUGAAAUUCGUAGAUAUCAAGCGGAACACCGGUGGCGAAGGCGGCCUUCUGGACAGUGACUGACGCUGAGACGCGAAAGCGUGGGGAGCAAACAGGAUUAGAAACCCUUGUAGUCC